rnacentral:rRNA from 1 species
UACGGAGGAGGCAAGCGUUAUCCGGAGUUAUUGGGCGUAAAGCGUCCGCAGGUGGCACUUCAAGUCUGUCGUCAAAGACUGGGGCUUAACCCUGGAAAGGCGGUGGAAACUGAAGCGCUAGAGUGUGGUAGGGGUAGAGGGAAUUCCCGGUGUAGCGGUGAAAUGCGUAGAGAUCGGGAAGAACAUCGGUGGCGAAGGCGCUCUACUGGACUACAACUGACACUCAGGGACGAAAGCUAGGGGAGCGAAUGGG